ensembl:lncRNA
GAAAUAGGGCAGUGCGCGCUGAGCCGCGGGGUGCGAAGGGCCGCGGGUUCGAAUCCAGCGGCAGCCGGGAGGGAACCUCGGUAUUUUUUCUUGUCUGCACGAAGUUCUGUUCUGCUGCUAACAGAUGAGACCUCUCCAAUGGUUUAUGCCAUAAAAGUUAUGACUGCGGUGAUUCCAGUUCUUGGCAGUAUUGCAGUUUGGGACUCAACUUUCUUCCUCCAUUCCAAGCAAAGUACUCACGUUUGUGCUUGCUGAUUUAUUUAUUGUUCAAAUGCUUUUCUGUAACAGCAAUUUCAACAUACGCGUUUGUCUCUUACAUGUGGGGGUUAAGGGCCCUCCCAGCACCUGAUUUUAGAAGGUUUUCGUCUUUGCCUGGGAAAUACCUGCUAUCAAAGCUGCUGCGCACAGCAAAAAUAAGGAUGGAAGACUCAGUGCUAAACACAGACGGGUAUCCAUAACUCCACCAGCUCUACAAGCAGAUGAAAGCCCACAGCGCGGGCUCCGCCGCCAUCAAUACAUGACCUGCUUUGGCAGGGGGGCUGGACUCGAUAUCUUGAGAUCCCUUCCAACCCCGAUGACUCUGUAAUAUGCGGCCAUUGAUAAAACAGUAUAAGG